UCGCCCACGUCCACGACCAUGGCCUCGACCACGACCGCGAUAAUAAUUUUGCCUUAUUUCAGGUUGAUCAUGUGCUGCUACAACAUUCGCUUCAGGGAAUGGAGCAGAUUCAGUGGGACGAGCUUUAUGAUUUUUCAUUAACAAAGUGUUAUUCUGCUCUGCCACAAGUAGGCAUGUAAUCAAUGCUGAAUAUUUCUUAAAUCCCCUUUCACGAUAUUGUUGUUGUAGCAAUACAUUAGAAGCAUGAAAAGUAGAAAAAAAUUUCUCUAAUAAGUCCUCAUCAGUGAUGGUUUCUCCGCAUAAUCUUAAUACUGAACUUACUUUAAGAAUAGCAGAAUUAUACUCAACCAUGGUUUUAAAAUUUUGAAACCGAAGGUAUAUCCAGUCAUAUUUAGUUUUUGGUGAUACCAUCAAUUUUAGGUGGUGAUAUCGGUCCUUCAAGUUGGUCCACAAUUCGAGUGAAUCUUUCACAGUUAAAUAUUCAGUUUUUAAUCUUUCGUGGAGGUGAUGACGAAGAAAAAUCAUAGCUUUCGCCUUAUCUUGACAAGAUGCGUUAUUUUAUUGUUUGAUAGUAUCUCCAAGACCUCUAGCGUCAUAGUGAAUUUCAACAUCAAGGAUCCAUGAUAAAUAAUUCUUUCCGAUAAUGUCCAGUGCCACAAACUCUAGUUUUGAUAAAUUUGACAUAGUGAAACUAUCAUAAAAAGAUUAAUAAGUUAGAUAUAAUGAUAUUUUCAAAAUAAGAUAACCAUCUCAAAUAAAUUUAAAUAGAAUCAUAUAUUGUUAAUAGAUUAUUAUCAAAAGGUUGUUUUCCUUUAGCAAUUUAUUUGUGUGUGUGUGUAGAGUCUGAAAACAAAUAGUUGCAUAAUAAAUACGUACCUUAUAAGGAUCUCAUGCUGAUAAUAAAUACGUACCUUCUGAAAUAUUCUAAAACGAAAGAGGAGAGGAGAGAGAUUAAGAAAAGACUUUGUUUCUUCUUCUUGGUGUGUUUAACAAUGUAACAUGCCAUGCCUUUUAUAGGCAAGAGUAGGUGUAAAAUGUGUAGUAUGUAAAAAUACAUUUACAAAAGAUAUGUCUUUUCUACACGCUACAAUACUAUGUGUAAUAGGUAUAGUAUGUGAAGUGUGAACAUCCACAUAACUUUACAAUAAAGAGGAAAAUUUUCUUAAAAAUCAAAUAUUUCUUUUUCAUGUAAUAGGUCUGCUGCUUACAUAUUCACCCUUAGUUUUCAAUUCAUUCUUCGAUUUUUUCUUCAACAUUUUGGAAAAAUAAACAACUGAACAGCAAAGAGAAAUUCACCCAACUAAACAUAUUCUUUCACUGUUAAUGCUACUACAAGGAAAAUAAAGAUUGGUGUGUGAAACAUUCCUUUCUUACAAGUUCGAAAAUUAAAUGACUUCAAAAAAUAAAUAAGUAAAUUAAGAAGAUUAGGCUAACCUAAUCCAUAGCUAAAGCCGGAACAAUUCAUGAUGAAUAACCUCUUCUUCUUUUUUUCAAACUUUAAGACGAAAAUAUUAUUUUUUUUUUAAUUCAGUUUAACAGAGUGAUGACAACAAAAUUGAGAAAAUCUUAACACAAGUUUAAAUUCUUUGAGAAUCAACAAUUCAACAUACUUCACACCAAGAAAAGAACUACAACAUCUCAAAGGCAGAAAAAGAACUAUAGCACCCUAAAAUUUGACCUACUAAAGUCUCAGGAUGCUCCUCUCAAACGGACAAUUAAUUCAUCGACAAAACAACGAUAAAUGCAGCCAAUUCCACAACAUAGUUUUCAGUCAUACGAAUGAGAUCAGGGGGAAAAAAAACUUUCACCUUUUUUGGGGCAGCGAACCCAAACAACAAGUUGACGAUGACUUCCAAUCGGAGUUUAAAUUCCGAAUCUUCCGAAUUUAAUUUUCUUCGGAAUUGAGUUUCGAGUUGUUCCUCAAGAAUUUUUUGGGUUACGUAGGAUUAGAAGCACGCGCCUCCCGAAUCCUCAAUUUUCCCCCCAAAAAAUCCUCCUCUUGAACUAUAUCCCCCAGCCUCUAUUUAUAGGCAAAAUUGGGGGGAAAUAUUAAGGUUUCGGAUUUGAAAGAGUGGAUUCUAAUCCAAAUUUUUGAAAUUGAUUUUCGAGGUCCACAACAGGACAAAGAAAAGAAACGUUAGGCAUUAAUUGUUUGCCCAAAAUGAACGAGCAUGAUCUGAAAAAGGGAAAGAAGGAUGAAUUUGUAGCCAUUCAUGGCUGAGGCCGUUGUUGACGCUGUUAUGUCGUGAAAUUGCUGUUAUUUUGUUGUACGGUGGGUUGAAGUUGUGGUUGUUGAUGUUGUUUGCUGUUAACGGGUAAAGGGGAAGGGAAAUAUGUAAGCGUUUGGGCCGGGUCGGUUCU
rnacentral:lncRNA from 1 species